GGGUACUGCUCUCAAAGAGAAGUCAUCCCAAGUUUGAACCUGAUUCAGCCCAAUAUGAAGUACUUGCAUAACCACGUCAGCUUCUUCUCGUCUGUCACACUGGCUUCUUCAACUGGGCUACAAGAAACAUCUUGAGCUGAGUGACUUAGGAAUACCAGACGAACGACACCAGGCAAGAUUCAUAUCAGAUUAGCCAGGGGCAUCAUGUCACAAUGGAAGAGUUCUAUAAGAAUGGUUUCGUCGUCGUUUUCAUCAUGUUCCUCGCUAGCUUUGUCAGCUCACACUGCUCAGAGAACUAUAAUUACAUUGUUGUCUCUGAAUCCAUUAACGUACGAACCGCCAUACAGGCCAUGGUUUAUGAGAAAUCCUUGCAUCUCUCUACUGUUGCCACUACGGGAGGCACGAUGGACAUGGGACAGAUCACUUAUCACAUCAGUGGAUGCUAAGUCCGUAGCUGGUUUGUUUCAAGCGAUAAACAACUUAUGGGUUGUUCCA